UACGUAGGGCGCAAGCGUUGUCCGGAUUUAUUGGGCGUAAAGAGCUCGUAGGCGGUUCGAUAAGUCGGGUGUGAAACCUCCAGGCUCAACCUGGAGACGCCACCCGAUACUGUCGUGACUAGAGUCCAGUAGGGGAGCGUGGAAUUCCUGGUGUAGCGGUGAAAUGCGCAGAUAUCAGGAGGAACACCAGCGGCGAAGGCGGCGCUCUGGGCUGGCACUGACGCUGAGGAGCGAAAGCGUGGGUAGCGAACAGG
rnacentral:rRNA from 1 species